GGAACAUCCAGUGCUUUCAGACAUUCGGCCAGACUUGCUUGGCAGCUCUGAGGCUUGGUGGGACAUUUGGAGAUCUGUAUAUGACUUCUGGGAACUCGAGGUGCUCAUGUGCGGGACUUAGAACCCGCCUUCGUACCAUCUGGGCCUGGAAGACUUUGCUGGAACUGUGCACUGUUCCUGUGACUGCAGCUGAUGCAGACACAGGGCUCAGAGGGAGUAAAAGUAUUUCUCUAUACCCAGGCUUUGGACGGCUCCUCGUGGACAGGGUGGCCCCAGUUCCUCGAGCCAUGUCUGUGCUAUGAAGUCCCCUUCUGACUGUGAAAAGAGUUGGGCUAGGCCUGAUGCCUGCAGCCCUCGUGAUCCAAGUAUCUGGGGGAAGUUCUGGCACUCCUGAUCACAGCCAGAUCUUUUGAGUGUCUAUGUUCAGUAUUUUCUCAGAUCACCUAUAAGUAAAUUUGUGAAGCCCUUAACUCUAUCACCUGCAUUUCCCUGGCCAGUAUGGAGCAGCCCACAAACCUGAAAUCCCUCCUCUCCCCGG
rnacentral:lncRNA from 1 species